CCCCCUCAAGAUGAGAUUUCCCAAUUAGUAAGACCCCUUGAAGACGACGAGGUAGAUAGGUUGGGGGUGGAAGUGCAGUAAUGCAUGGAGCUGACCAAUACUAAUCGGUCGAGGGCUUAUCCUA
rnacentral:rRNA from 1 species